rnacentral:rRNA from 1 species
UACGUAGGGGGCUAGCGUUAUCCGGAAUUACUGGGCGUAAAGGGUGCGUAGGUGGUUUCUUAAGUCAGAGGUGAAAGGCUACGGCUCAACCGUAGUAAGCCUUUGAAACUGGGAAACUUGAGUGCAGGAGAGGAGAGUGGAAUUCCUAGUGUAGCGGUGAAAUGCGUAGAUAUUAGGAGGAACACCAGUUGCGAAGGUGGCUCUCUGGACUGUAACUGACACUGAGGCACGAAAGCGUGGGGAGCAAACAGG